rnacentral:rRNA from 1 species
GGUUACAGGUUAACUCCAACCCCUGUGACAUACCUAUACGUUGCCUCGGCGGAUCAGCCCGCGCCCCGUAAAACGGGACGGCCCGCCCGAGGACCCUAAACUCUGUUUUUAGUGGAACUUCUGAGUAAAACAAACAAAUAAAUCAAAACUUUCAACAACGGAUCUCUUGGUUCUGGCAUCGAUGAAGAACGCAGCAAAAUGCGAUAAGUAAUGUGAAUUGCAGAAUUCAGUGAAUCAUCGAAUCUUUGAACGCACAUUGCGCCCGCCAGUAUUCUGGCGGGCAUGCCUGUUCGAGCGUCAUUUCAACCCUCAAGCUCAGCUUGGUGUUGGGACUCGCGGUAACCCGCGUUCCCCAAAUCGAUUGGCGGUCACGUCGAGCUUCCAUAGCGUAGUAAUCAUACACCUCGUUACUGGUAAUCGUCGCGGCCACGCCGUUAAACCCCAACUUCUGAAUGUUGACCUCGGAUCAGGUAGGAAUACCCGCUGAACUUAAGCAUAUCAAA